UACGAACUGUGCAAACGUUAUUCGGAAUCACUGGGCUUAAAGGGUGCGCAGGCGGUCUGCUAAGCAGGGUGUGAAAGCCCCCGGCUCAACCGGGGAAUUGCGCCCUGAACUGGCAGGCUUGAGUGAGAUAGAGGUGUGGGGAACCUCCGGUGGAGCGGUGAAAUGUGUUGAUAUCGGAAGGAACGCCAGAGGCGAAAGCGCCACACUGGGUCUCAACUGACGCUGAGGCACGAAAGCCAGGGGAGCAAACGGG
rnacentral:rRNA from 1 species